UGUGCCACUGUGCUGCGGGACGCAUUCAUCUACGCCGUUUUGACAGGUGCUGACUGUCGUGUUCUGAUUUGAACUGUUGAUACUGCGGUAGGCUGCACGUUCAUAGUAUCGUUGCUGCUGCCGCUUCGUACAAACUGGAAACGCGCGGCAAUGACACGGCCGUGCAAGAAUCCCCGGAAACCGCGGACUUUCGGUGGGAAAUCAGUCCGGAAGCUGCGUCGGCGGCUGGCGAGAGAGAAACGGCAAUCCAAGCUGUGGUCUUUGCCCCCUUGUAUGGUCUUAGCCAUCAGUGGUCUUAGUCUAGUGUCAUUGCCUUGACUCUGGGGGCAAGACUGAGAAGCACCUGUAUUACGACUCUCCCCCGAUUAUUUUUUUUUUUUUAUAGUCUGAGGUACAGCACAGGAGUGAAAGGAUUACCACAGUGGUGCCAACUUUCACUUGCGGCUAUCCAAGAGCGGACGAUGUGAUGCGGUUCAGGUCGACCCGGAUGUUAUCAUAAACAAUAUAUGCAUUUCCCAAU